rnacentral:rRNA from 1 species
GUAGUCUGCAACUCGACUACAUGAAGCUGGAAUCGCUAGUAAUCGCGAAUCAGAAUGUCGCGGUGAAUACGUUCCCGGGUCUUGUACACACCGCCCGUCACACCAUGGGAGCCGGAAACGCCCGAAGUCAGUGGCCCAACCGGAAGGAGGGAGCUGCUGAAGGCAGGGCUGGUAACUGGGGUGAAGUCGUAACAAGGUACC